rnacentral:rRNA from 1 species
AGCAGCCGCGGUAAUUCCAGCUCCAAUAGCGUAUAUUAAAGUUGUUGCAGUUAAAAAGCUCGUAGUUGAAUUUCGGGGUCAGUAGAUUGGUCGUGCCACUGGUAUGUACUGGUCUUACUGGCUCCUCCUUCCUGAUGAACCGUAAUGCCAUUAAUUUGGUGUUGCGGGGAAACUGGACUGUUACUUUGAAAAAAUUAGAGUGUUUAAAGCAGGCUAACGCUUGAAUACAUUAGCAUGGAAUAAUGAAAUAGGACGUUCGAUCUUAUUUUGUUGGUUUCUAGGAUUGACGUAAUGAUUAAUAGGGAUAGUUGGGGGCAUUAGUAUUCAAUUGUCAGAGGUGAAAUUCUUGGAUUUAUUGAAGACUAACUACUGCGAAAGCAUUUGCCAAGGAUGUUUUCAUUAAUCAAGAACGAAAGUUAGGGGAUCGAAGACGAUCAGAUACCGUCGUAGUCUUAACCAUAAACUAUGCCGACUAGGGAUCGGAUGAUGUUAAUUUUUAAUG